UGAAUUGUUGAACCAGAGAAAUGUGAAGACUUACAGACACCUAGACUGUAUAGACAACAUAACAAUGAUUAGAGAAUCAGACUACAGUGAACAUUACAAUGAUUAGAAAAUCAGACUAGAGUCAACAUUACAAUGAUUAGAGAAUCAGACUAUAGUCAACAUUACAAUGAUUAGAAAAUCAGCCAGCUGCAUUUCAUCAAUCAGUUUAUGAUGAAGCUUUACAGCAUUGGAAAUGAUUACUCAGGGACCAAACAACUGAGCAGAAAGAAGAACCGUAUGACCUUAAAGAGUAAGCAAUGUAUUAAGUAUAUUUGGGGUUACCAAAGAGUAUGGUAAGAACCUCAUCUUAAAUUAUACUUGAGUUCUUACGAAGAUGUAUAGGUAUGCAGUAUUUAUUAUUUUUGUCUCUGUGUAUUUUUGUCAAUGAGGUAAAACCCCAGAACAAAUCAAUCAGAAGUAUUAACUGGUGUAAUUUGAGAACACCCUGGAACACGAGAAAUAUCCUACCUCACAAAAUUUAACAUGAGACAUCUUGUUUUCACCUUUUUUCAAGGAAGCAGCACACACAGUGUAAUCAUGAAGGUAUCCAUGUCCUGGAACAUCUGGGAAUAGCAUAUCUCUAAUAGUAUUUUUACUACUAUCCUCAAAAUUCAAACAAAACAGUCAGAUAUUUUGAUCAACAAGAGGUACA